rnacentral:rRNA from 1 species
UACAGGGGGUGCAAACGUUGCUCGGAAUCACUGGGCGUAAAGCGCACGUAGGCGGAUUUCUAAGUCAGGGGUGAAAUCCUGGAGCUCAACUCCAGAACUGCCUUUGAUACUGGGAAUCUCGAGUCCGGGAGAGGUGAGUGGAACUGCGAGUGUAGAGGUGAAAUUCGUAGAUAUUCGCAAGAACACCAGUGGCGAAGGCGGCUCACUGGCCCGGUACUGACGCUGAGGUGCGAAAGCGUGGGGAGCAAACAGG